rnacentral:rRNA from 1 species
AGAGUUUGNNCAUGGCUCAGAUUGAACGUUNNNNNNAGGCCUCAUACAUGCAAGUCGAACGAGAAAGGUCCUUCGGGACUGAGUACAGUGGCGGACGGGUGAGUAAGGCGUAGGAAUCUACCUUGUAGUGGGGGACAACUCGGGGAAACUCGAGCUAAUACCGCAUAAUCUCCAAGGAGGAAAGCGGGGGAUCUUCGGACCUCGCGCUAUUAGAGGAGCCUACGUUGGAUUAGCUAGUUGGUGGGGUAAUGGCCCACCAAGGCGACGAUCCAUAGCUGGUCUGAGAGGACGAUCAGCCACACUGGAACUGAGACACGGUCCAGACAACUACGGUUGGCAGCAGUAGGGAAUAUUGCACAAUGGGCGAAAGCCUGAUGCAGCCAUGCCGCGUGUGUGAAGAAGGCUCUAGGGUUGUAAAGCACUUUCAGUGGUGAAGAAACACCGGUGUAUAAU